rnacentral:rRNA from 1 species
UUAAGCGACUAAGCGUACACGGUGGAUGCCCUGGCAGUCAGAGGCGAUGAAGGACGUGCUAAUCUGCGAAAAGCGUCGGUAAGGUGAUAUGAACCGUUAUAGCCGGCGAUGUCCGAAUGGGGAAACCCAGUGCAAUUCGUUGCACUAUCGUUAACUGAAUACAUAGGUUAACGAGGCGAACCGGGGGAACUGAAACAUCUAAGUACCCCGAGGAAAAGAAAUCAACCGAGAUUCCCCCAGUAGCGGCGAGCGAACGGGGAGCAGCCCAGAGUCUGAAUCAGCUUGUGUGUUAGUGGAACGGUCUGGAAAGUCCGACGGUACAGGGUGAUAGUCCCGUACACCAAAAUGCACAGGCUGUGAACUCGAAGAGUAGGGCGGGACACGUGGUAUCCUGUCUGAAUAUGGGGGGACCAUCCUCCAAGGCUAAAUACUCCUGACUGACCGAUAGUGAACCAGUACCGUGAGGGAAAGGCGAAAAGAACCCCGGCGAGGGGAGUGAAAAAGAACCUGAAACCGUGUACGUACAAGCAGUGGGAGCACCUUCGGGUGUGACUGCGUACCUUUUGUAUAAUGGGUCAGCGACUUAUAUUCUGUAGCAAGGUUAACCGUAUAGGGGAGCCGCAGGGAAACCGAGUCUUAACUGGGCGUUAAGUUGCAGGGUAUAGACCCGAAACCCGGUGAUCUAGCCAUGGGCAGGUUGAAGGUUGGGUAACACUAACUGGAGGACCGAACCGACUAAUGUUGAAAAAUUAGCGGAUGACUUGUGGCUGGGGGUGAAAGGCCAAUCAAACCGGGAGAUAGCUGGUUCUCCCCGAAAGCUAUUUAGGUAGCGCCUCGUGAAUUCAUCUUCGGGGGUAGAGCACUGUUUCGGCUAGGGGGUCAUCCCGACUUACCAACCCGAUGCAAACUACGAAUACCGAAGAAUGUUAUCACGGGAGACACACGGCGGGUGCUAACGUCCGUCGUGAAGAGGGAAACAACCCAGACCGCCAGCUAAGGUCCCAAAGUCAUGGUUAAGUGGGAAACGAUGUGGGAAGGCACAGACAGCCAGGAUGUUGGCUUAGAAGCAGCCAUCAUUUAAAGAAAGCGUAAUAGCUCACUGGUCGAGUCGGCCUGCGCGGAAGAUGUAACGGGGCUAAACCAUGCACCGAAGCUGCGGCAGCGACACUAUGUGUUGUUGGGUAGGGGAGCGUUCUGUAAGCCUGCGAAGGUGUGCUGUGAGGCAUGCUGGAGGUAUCAGAAGUGCGAAUGCUGACAUAAGUAACGAUAAAGCGGGUGAAAAGCCCGCUCGCCGGAAGACCAAGGGUUCCUGUCCAACGUUAAUCGGGGCAGGGUGAGUCGACCCCUAAGGCGAGGCCGAAAGGCGUAGUCGAUGGGAAACAGGUUAAUAUUCCUGUACUUGGUGUUACUGCGAAGGGGGGGACGGAGAAGGCUAUGUUAGCCGGGCGACGGUUGUCCCGGUUUAAGCAUGUAGGCUGGUUGUCCAGGCAAAUCCGGAUAAUCAAGGCUGAGGUGUGAUGACGAGGCACUACGGUGCUGAAGUAACAAAUGCCCUGCUUCCAGGAAAAGCCUCUAAGCAUCAGGUAACAUUAAAUCGUACCCCAAACCGACACAGGUGGUCAGGUAGAGAAUACCAAGGCGCUUGAGAGAACUCGGGUGAAGGAACUAGGCAAAAUGGUGCCGUAACUUCGGGAGAAGGCACGCUGGUGUGUAGGUGAAGUCCCUGCGGAUGGAGCUGAGACCAGUCGAAGAUACCAGCUGGCUGCAACUGUUUAUUAAAAACACAGCACUGUGCAAACACGAAAGUGGACGUAUACGGUGUGACGCCUGCCCGGUGCCGGAAGGUUAAUUGAUGGGGUUAUCCGUAAGGAGAAGCUCUUGAUCGAAGCCCCGGUAAACGGCGGCCGUAACUAUAACGGUCCUAAGGUAGCGAAAUUCCUUGUCGGGUAAGUUCCGACCUGCACGAAUGGCGUAAUGAUGGCCAGGCUGUCUCCACCCGAGACUCAGUGAAAUUGAACUCGCUGUGAAGAUGCAGUGUACCCGCGGCAAGACGGAAAGACCCCGUGAACCUUUACUAUAGCUUGACACUGAACAUUGAGCCUUGAUGUGUAGGAUAGGUGGGAGGCUUUGAAGCGUGGACGCCAGUCUGCGUGGAGCCAACCUUGAAAUACCACCCUUUAAUGUUUGAUGUUCUAACGUUGGCCCCUGACCGGGGUUGCGGACAGUGUCUGGUGGGUAGUUUGACUGGGGCGGUCUCCUCCCAAAGCGUAACGGAGGAGCACGAAGGUUAGCUAAUCCUGGUCGGACAUCAGGAGGUUAGUGCAAUGGCAUAAGCUAGCUUGACUGCGAGCGUGACGGCGCGAGCAGGUGCGAAAGCAGGUCAUAGUGAUCCGGUGGUUCUGAAUGGAAGGGCCAUCGCUCAACGGAUAAAAGGUACUCCGGGGAUAACAGGCUGAUACCGCCCAAGAGUUCAUAUCGACGGCGGUGUUUGGCACCUCGAUGUCGGCUCAUCACAUCCUGGGGCUGAAGUAGGUCCCAAGGGUAUGGCUGUUCGCCAUUUAAAGUGGUACGCGAGCUGGGUUUAGAACGUCGUGAGACAGUUCGGUCCCUAUCUGCCGUGGGCGCUGGAGAAUUGAGGGGGGCUGCUCCUAGUACGAGAGGACCGGAGUGGACGCAUCACUGGUGUUCGGGUUGUCAUGCCAAUGGCACUGCCCGGUAGCUAAAUGCGGAAGAGAUAAGUGCUGAAAGCAUCUAAGCACGAAACUUGCCCCGAGAUGAGUUCUCCCUGAGACUUUAAGUCUCCUGAAGGAACGUUAAAGACGAUGACGUUGAUAGGCCGGGUGUGUAAGCGCAGCGAUGCGUUGAGCUAACCGGUACUAAUGAACCGUGAGGCUUAACCUU